rnacentral:rRNA from 1 species
UACGAAGGGGGCUAGCGUUGUCCGGAAUUAUUGGGCGUAAAGAGCUCGUAGGCGGCCUGUUGCGUCCGCUGUGAAAGCCCGGGGCUUAACCCCGGGUCGCAGUGGAUACGGGCAGGCUAGAGGUAGGUAGGGGAGAAUGGAAUUCCCGGUGUAGCGGUGAAAUGCGUAGAUAUACGGGCGAGGAACACCUGUGGCGAAAAGCGGCUCACUGGACCACAACUGACGCUGAGGCGCGAAAGCGUGGGGAGCGA